UCGGGAACCGUGAGACAGGUGCUGCAUGGCUGUCGUCAGCUCGUGUUGUGAAAUGUUGGGUUAAGUCCCGCAACGAGCGCAACCCUUAUCCUUUGUUGCCAGCGGUCCGGCCGGGAACUCAAAGGAGACUGCCAGUGAUAAACUGGAGGAAGGUGGGGAUGACGUCAAGUCAUCAUGGCCCUUACGACCAGGGCUACACACGUGCUACAAUGGCGCAUACAAAGAGAAGCGACCUCGCGAGAGCAAGCGGACCUCAUAAAGUGCGUCGUAGUCCGGAUUGGAGUCUGCAACUCGACUCCAUGAAGUCGGAAUCGCUAGUAAUCGUGGAUCAGAAUGCCACGGUGAAUACGUUCCCGGGCCUUGUACACACCGCCCGUCACACCAUGGGAGUGGGUUGCAAAAGAAGUAGGUAGCUUAACCUUCGGGAGGGCGCUUACCACUUUGUGAUUCAUGACUGGGGUGAAGUCGUAACAAGGUAACCGUAGGGGAACCUGCGGUUGGAUCACCUCCUU
rnacentral:rRNA from 1 species